rnacentral:rRNA from 1 species
CCUACGGGAGGCAGCAGUGGGGAAUAUUGGGCAAUGGGCGCAAGCCUGACCCAGCAACGCCGCGUGAGGGAAGAAGGCUUUCGGGUUGUAAACUUCUGUUAAGAGGGAAGAACAGAAGACGGUACCUCUUGAAUAAGCCACGGCUAACGACGUGCCAGCGUCCGCGGUAAUACGGAGGGGGCAAGCGUUGUCCGGCUGUACGGGGUGUAAAGGGCGGGUAGCCGGGCUGACAAGGCAGAUGUGAAAUUCCGGGGCUCAACCCGGGACCUGCAUUUGAAACUGUUGGUCUUGAGUCUCGGAGAGGCAGGCGGAAUUCCUAGUGUAGCGGUGAAAUGCGUAGAUAUUAGGAGGAACACCAGUGGCGAAGGCGGCUUGCUG